rnacentral:misc_RNA from 1 species
UACAUUUCUCUAUUGUGUGUGUGUGUGUGUGUGUAUUUCAUUUACAUUUUACGUAUAUGUAUGUGUGUUAUAUCCAAUUCCCCUUUUAUAUGAGUUGUAUUCCAUAAAAUAUUGAAGUUUUAGCUUUAAUAUUUUGAAAAAUUUUUGGAUAUUUGAGAAAUCGAUGGAGAGAAUAUCUAAAUAUUUCAUAAUAUUAUUUAUACAUAAUCUCAAAGAAUACGGUUAAAAAUUAAAUUUAACAUGCUCGUUCAGUUUCUAAAAAAUGUUACUUUGAUUAUAUUUUAGUUACGUUUAAUUAUUGGUCUUCUGAAACUUUAAGAAUCAAUUUCUCCCGUUUGCAUUAUUUCGUGUUUACAUUGUGCGAUAAAUGCUGUGGGGUUCGGCUCCUCGUCAAUUGAUUCCCGAGGCCCGGUUGUUUAUCUGUAAGUCAGCCCUGCUUGAGGAGCCCUUUGAUCAAAAGCGUUGCAAAUGUGACCAUCUUAUCUUUUCUUCAUCUAUAUUUGAUGUAUCUUUUAUAUUUUAAUACGGAAGGGUGUAAUCUAAGGAAGAUUUUACUAUUGUUUCUAGCAGAUCAAAUGAACCUUCGUAGCUUCCCUCAUUUAGUUAUUGUUGUUUAGCUUCGGUUCAUACUCUAUCGAGAAAACCUUUGAUCGAAGACGUUCCAGCCAGUGUAGAAUAUUAGCUGAAACCAAACUACUGUUUUUAACAGGUGUAGCUAUUAUGGAGAGUCUCGUUCAGUUUUAAUCCAUUUUUCACUUCAUUUUUAUCCCCAAUGCCCUUAACAAUCCCAGAAAGAUCUUAAUUACUUCCAUCUCAAUUUAAAUCGAUACUACAUCAAUUUUUCUAUAUCACAAUACUAAAUGGAAAAAAAAUCGCUAAUAUUUCAAAAUUUCAUUGAAGUGUGUUAUGUUUGGGUAACUGACACACACAUACACACACAUACGUUCUUGUACAAAAGUUAAGAUACACGUGGCUCUUGGUUCCAAAAGAUGAGUGGUGGGUCGCGAAAAGCCACGUACCAAGAGCUGUAAUAACUAUCCACAUUCAGAGAGAUUCGCUACUCCAGCUGAGAUUUAAAAAGUUAACAGCGACAACAUAAAAGAGUUAACGAUCCAAUAUUAGAAUUUUGUAUUUUGUAGAUUGGAAAUUGUUCUUGUAGCUAAAAUCAUGGCGAAAAAAGAUUCACAAGCAAGUCACCUUUCUGCUGGAGAACAACACCGAAAACAAGUAAAGAAAAUUUAAAAAAAGCCAAAAAGGAUAACAAAGAAGUAAAAAAGAAAAGUGACCUAAAGAAAUCUUCAAUGCCAAUUACGGAUGUGAUAUUGGUUGUGUUCUCAAUCCUAGUAAUAAUUGCUGCUGUGUACCUAUUUCUGUUUUGGUAUCUCUCACAAGAACCUGAAUCUGUAACUGCUGAAAGUAAAGACCUAUAAAGAUUGCUUGAUAUUUCUAUAUCACAAUAAUAGAUGUUAUCAUCUCAAGUGAAAAAAAAAAAAAAAAUCUGAAAAUAUAAAUAUAAAAAUGUUAAAAUUAAUGAAGUAACAUACUAGU